rnacentral:rRNA from 1 species
CCUACGGGAGGCAGCAGUGAGGAAGAUUGGUCAAUGGACGAGAGUCUGAACCAGCCAAGUAGCGUGAAGGAUGACUGCCCUAUGGGUUGUAAACUUCUUUUAUAUGGGAAUAAAAUGUGACACGUGGGGGAUUUUGUAUGUACCAUAUGAAUAAGGAUCGGCUAACUCCGUGCCAGCAGCCGCGGUAAUACGGAGGAUCCGAGCGUGAUCCGGAUUUAUUGGGUUUAAAGGGAGCGUAGGGGGAUUGUUACGUCAGUUGUGAACGUUUGCGGCUCCACCGUAAAAUUGCCGUUGAAACUGGCAGUCUUGCGUACAGUAGCGGUGGGCGGCCUUCGUGGUGUAGCG